GGAUGAUGUUGGUCUCAUAAAAUGAUCUGGGAAGGAGUCCCUCUUUUUGGAUUGUUUGAAAUAAUUUCAGAAGGAAUGGUACCAGCUCCUCUUUGUACAUCUUGUAGAAUUCAGCUUUGAACCCAUCUUGACCUGGACUUUUUUUCAUUGAUAGGCUAUUAGUUACUUCAAUCUCAGAACU